rnacentral:ncRNA from 1 species
UGGCUCUGGAGAAGCCCGGAAAACGGGGACCGAAGGUGCAAGGCGGCGCUGCCGCUGAAUCUCUCAGGUAAAAGGACAGAGUGGGA